GGAUAACUGAUGGAAACGUCAGCUAAGACCGCAUAGGUGUAGAGAUCGCAUGAACUCUAUAUGAAAAGUGCUACGGGACUGGUAGAUGAUGGACUUAUGGCGCAUUAGCUUGUUGGUAGGGUAACGGCCUACCAAGGCGACGAUGCGUAGCCGACCUGAGAGGGUGACCGGCCACACUGGGACUGAGACACGGCCCAGACUCCUACGGGAGGCAGCAGUAGGGAAUUUUCGGCAAUGGGGGAAACCCUGACCGAGCAACGCCGCGUGAAGGAAGAAGUAACUCGUUAUGUAAACUUCUGUCAUAGAGGAAGAACGGUGGAUAUAGGGAAUGAUAUCCAAGUGACGGUACUCUAUAAGAAAGCCACGGCUAACUACGUGCCAGCAGCCGCGGUAAUACGUAGGUGGCGAGCGUUAUCCGGAAUUAUUGGGCGUAAAGAGGGAGCAGGCGGCACUAAGGGUCUGUGGUGAAAGAUCGAAGCUUAACUUCGGUAAGCCAUGGAAACCGUAGAGCUAGAGUGUGUGAGAGGAUCGUGGAAUUCCAUGUGUAGCGGUGAAAUGCGUAGAUAUAUGGAGGAACACCAGUGGCGAAGGCGACGAUCUGGCGCAUAACUGACGCUCAGUCCCGAAAGCGUGGGGAGCAAAUAGGAUUAGAUACCCUAGUAGUCCACGCCGUAAACGAUGAGUACUAAGUGUUGGGUGUCAAAGCUCAGUGCUGCAG
rnacentral:rRNA from 1 species